rnacentral:tRNA from 1 species
AAGGCCUUAGCUUAAUUAAAGUGUUUGAGUUGCAAUUAGAUGAUGUAGGUUAGUAUUCUACAGGUCUUC